rnacentral:rRNA from 1 species
CGGUGUUCCACCCACCUAGAGGAGCCUGUUCUAUAAUCGAUUUUCCCCGAUCAACCCCACCAUCUUUUGAAUACUCAGCCUGUAUACCUCCGUCGCAAGCUUACCCUAUGAACGCACUUAGUGAGCCUAAUGAUUUAACACCCACACGUCAGGUCAAGGUGCAGCCCACAAGAUGGUAAGAAAUGGGCUACAAUUUCUACCCUAGAACAAACGAAAGGCUACAUGAAACACAGCCACUGAAGGCGGAUUUAGCAGUAAAAAGAAAAUAGAGAGUUCUUUUUAAUCAGGCACUGGAACGCGUACACACCGCCCGUCACCCUCUUCAAACACAAAUAUUAUGUUAUUGACACCACACACAAGACAGAAGAGGUAAGUCGUAACACGGUAAGCGUACUGGAAAGUGCGCUUGGAAUAACAAAAUGUAACUUAAUAAAAGU